UUGCAAGAAUUGAACCCACAAAGUCAAAUAGAGCAGCGUUUGGAUACUGAAAAUUACCGAAAAUUGCUUACAUGCAGGGAAAAUUUCCCCUUUCUGUAUCUAAGCUGGCACUCUCUCCUCUAUCGGGCCGGAUCUUAACCCAUUUAAUACAAAAAAAUCUCUCCAAUCUCUAUAGCUAGCUCAGUGAACCAGAUCCCUAAUUCACUCAAGAUGAAAAAUCCACAGAAAACUGCACCAAUUUCAUAGCAAUAACAGCAAAUUUAUGCUGCUUUUUCUCAUCAAAAUCUUAUCUUGGCUCAAGGUCUAUCUCUCUCUCUCUCUCUUUACCAUUUUGUUUACUUUGUUCCUUUGAACAGUUAAACCAAAACCCUAAUUUAUAGUUCUCCAAAAAUGAUUCUAAAUUAUGGAUUUUGAGCUAAUUAUCAAAAUUGAUUCUCAUCCAGGCUCACAAUUUCGUG
rnacentral:lncRNA from 1 species